rnacentral:rRNA from 1 species
UACGUAGGGGCCUAGCGUUGUCCGGAUUUAUUGGGCGUAAAGAGCUCGUAGGUGGUUCGGUAAGUCAGGUGUGAAACCUCCAGGCUCAACCUGGAGACGCCACUUGAUACUGCUGUGACUGGAGUCCGGUAGGGGAGCGUGGAAUUCCUGGUGUAGCGGUGAAAUGCGCAGAUAUCAGGAGGAACACCAGCGGCGAAGGCGGCGCUCUGGGCCGGUACUGACACUGAGGAGCGAAAGCGUGGGUAGCAAACAGG